rnacentral:rRNA from 1 species
UACGUAGGGGGCAAGCGUUGUCCGGAAUCAUUGGGCGUAAAGAGCGUGUAGGCGGCUCGGUAAGUCCGCUCUGAAAGCCCGGGGCUCAACCCCGGGAGGCGGGCGGAUACUGUCGGGCUAGAGUCCGGAAGAGGCGAGUGGAAUUCCUGGUGUAGCGGUGAAAUGCGCAGAUAUCAGGAGGAACACCAUGCGGAAGGCAGCUCGCUGGGACGGUACUGACGCUGAGACGCGAAAGCGUGGGGAGCAAACAGG